rnacentral:rRNA from 1 species
UGGGGAAUAUUGGACAAUGGGCGAAAGCCUGAUCCAGCCAUGCCGCGUGUGUGAAGAAGGUCUUCGGAUUGUAAAGCACUUUAAGUUGGGAGGAAGGGCAGUAAGCGAAUACCUUGCUGUUUUGACGUUACCGACAGAAUAAGCACCGGCUAACUCUGUGCCAGCAGCCGCGGUAAUACAGAGGGUGCAAGCGUUAAUCGGAAUUACUGGGCGUAAAGCGCGCGUAGGUGGUUCGUUAAGUUGAAUGUGAAAGCCCCGGGCUCAACCUGGGAACUGCAGCCAAAACUGGCGAGCUAGAGUAGGGCAGAGGGUGGUGGAAUUUCCUGUGGAGCGGUGAAAUGCGUAGAUAUAGGAAGGAACACCAGGGGCGAAGGCGACCACCUGGGCUCAUACUGACACUGAGGUGCGAAAGCGUGGGGAGCAAACAGG